rnacentral:rRNA from 1 species
CCUACGGGUGACUGCAGUGGGGAAUAUUGGACAAUGGGGGGAACCCUGAUCCAGCGACGCCGCGUGAGUGAAGAAGUAUUUCGGUAUGUAAAGCUCUAUCAGCAGGGAAGAAAGAAAUGACGGUACCUGACUAAGAAGCCCCGGCUAACUACGUGCCAGCAGCCGCGGUAAUACGUAGGGGGCAAGCGUUAUCCGGAUUUACUGGGUGUAAAGGGAGCGUAGACGGCGAUGCAAGUCUGAAGUGAAAGGCGGGGGCCCAACCCCCGGACUGCUUUGGAAACUGUAUGGCUGGAGUGCAGGGGAGGUAAGUGGAAUUCCUAGUGUAGCGGUGAAAUGCGUAGAUAUUAGGAGGAACACCAGUGGCGAAGGCGGCUUACUGGACUGUAACUGACGUUGAGGCUCGAAAGCGUGGGGAGCAAACAGGAUUAGAUACCCCUGUAGUC